GAUGAAGAACGCAGCGAAAUGCGAUAAGUAAUGUGAAUUGCAGAAUUCAGUGAAUCAUCGAAUCUUUGAACGCAUCUUGCGCUCCUUGGUAUUCUGAGGAGCAUGCCUGUUUGAGUGUCAUUAAAUUCUCAACUACACUGACUUUGAAUUGGUGUGGCUUGGAUUUGGGGGGAAAAUUGUUGUGGGCUUUUUGUAUAGUCUGCUCCCCUGAAAUUGAUUAGCGGUACCUUUGUGGAACUGUCUACAGGUGUGAUAAUUAUCUACAUCUUAGACAUCUGCUGGAAUGCUGCUUUCUAAACCUUACUUGUAUUGACAAUCUUGACCUCAAAUCAGGUAGGACUACCCGCUGAACUUAAGCAUAUCAAUAAGCGGACGA
rnacentral:misc_RNA from 1 species